GAUGAAGAACGUAGCGAAAUGCGAUAAGUAAUGUGAAUUGCAGAAUUCAGUGAAUCAUCGAAUCUUUGAACGCACAUUGCGCCCGUCAGUAUUCUGGCGGGCAUGCCUGUUCGAGCGUCAUUACGCCCCUCAAGUCCCCUGUGGACUUGGUGUUGGGGAUCGGCGAGGCUGGUUUUCCAGCACAGCCGUCCCUUAAAUUGAUUGGCGGUCUCGCCGUGGCCCUCCUCUGCGCAGUAGUAAAACACUCGCAACAGGAGCCCGGCGCGGUCCACUGCCGUAAAACCCCCCAACUUUUUAUAGUUGACCUCGAAUCAGGUAGGACUACCCGCUGAACUUAAGCAUAUCAAUAAGCGAGGA
rnacentral:misc_RNA from 1 species